UACGUAGGGUGCGAGCGUUGUCCGGAAUUAUUGGGCGUAAAGAGCUCGUAGGCGGUGUGUCACGUCGGCCGUGAAAACCUGCAGCUUAACUGUGGGCGUGCGGUCGAUACGGGCAUCACUGGAGUUCGGCAGGGGAGACUGGAAUUCCUGGUGUAGCGGUGAAAUGCGUAGAUAUCUGGAGGAACACCGGUGGUGUAAACGGCUUUCUGGACCAUUACUGACGCUGAUGCACGAAAGCGUGG
rnacentral:rRNA from 1 species